rnacentral:rRNA from 1 species
ACGCUAGCUACAGGCUUAACACAUGCAAGUCGAGGGGAAACGGCAUUAAGUGCUUGCACUUUUAGGACGUCGACCGGCGCACGGGUGAGUAACGCGUAUCCAACCUUCCCAUGACUAAGGGAUAACCUGCCGAAAGGCAGACUAAUACCUUAUGGUCUUCACUGACGGCAUCAGAUGUGAAGUAAAGAUUUAUCGGUUAUGGAUGGGGAUGCGUCUGAUUAGCUUGUUGGCGGGGUAACGGCCCACCAAGGCAACGAUCAGUAGGGGUUCUGAGAGGAAGGUCCCCCACAUUGGAACUGAGACACGGUCCAAACUCCUACGGGAGGCAGCAGUGAGGAAUAUUGGUCAAUGGGCGAGAGCCUGAACCAGCCAAGUAGCGUGCAGGAUGACGGCCCUAUGGGUUGUAAACUGCUUUUGUAUGGGGAUAAAGUCAGUCACGUGUGAUUGUUUGCAGGUACCAUACGAAUAAGGACCGGCUAAUUCCGUGCCAGCAGCCGCGGUAAUACGGAAGGUCCGGGCGUUAUCCGGAUUUAUUGGGUUUAAAGGGAGCGUAGGCUGGAGAUUAAGUGUGUUGUGAAAUGUAGACGCUCAACGUCUGACUUGCAGCGCAUACUGGUUUCCUUGAGUACGCACAACGUUGGCGGAAUUCGUCGUGUAGCGGUGAAAUGCUUAGAUAUGACGAAGAACUCCGAUUGCGAAGGCAGCUGACGGGAGCGCAACUGACGCUGAAGCUCGAAGGUGCGGGUAUCGAACAGGAUUAGAUACCCUGGUAGUCCGCACAGUAAACGAUGGAUGCCCGCUGUUGGUACUUGGUAUCAGCGGCUAAGCGAAAGCAUUAAGCAUCCCACCUGGGGAGUACGCCGGCAACGGUGAAACUCAAAGGAAUUGACGGGGGCCCGCACAAGCGGAGGAACAUGUGGUUUAA